GAUGAACGCUGGCGGCGUGCCUAAUACAUGCAAGUCGAGCGAACAGACGAGGAGCUUGCUCCUCUGACGUUAGCGGCGGACGGGUGAGUAACACGUGGAUAACCUACCUAUAAGACUGGGAUAACUUCGGGAAACCGGAGCUAAUACCGGAUAAUAUAUUGAACCGCAUGGUUCAAUAGUGAAAGACGGUUUUGCUGUCACUUAUAGAUGGAUCCGCGCCGCAUUAGCUAGUUGGUAAGGUAAAGGCUUACCAAGGCAACGAUGCGUAGCCGACCUGAGAGGGUGAUCGGCCACACUGGAACUGAGACACGGUCCAGACUCCUACGGGGGGCAGCAGUAGGGAAUCUUCCGCAAUGGGCGAAAGCCUGACGGAGCAACGCCGCGUGAGUGAUGAAGGUCUUCGGAUCGUAAAACUCUGUUAUUAGUGAAGAACAAAUGUGUAAGUAACUAUGCACGUCUUGACGGUACCUAAUCAGAAAGCCACGGCUAACUACGUG
rnacentral:rRNA from 1 species